CUUCCUCGAUCUGCUGCGGGCAGAUGAAGUGGAUGUGCGAAUCAAUGCCGCCGGCGGUGAGGAUCAUGCCUUCGCCGGCGAUGAUCUCGGUGCCGGCGCCGAUGGCGAUCGUCACCCCCGGCUGCACGUCCGGAUUGCCGGCCUUGCCGAUCGCGGCGAUCAUGCCGCCCUUCAAGCCGACGUCGGCCUUGACGAUGCCCUGCACAGCGUCGACGAUCAGGGCGUUGGUGAUCACCGUGUCGGCGACGUCCUUGGCGAGCCGCUGGCCCUGGCCCAUGCCGUCGCGGAU
rnacentral:sRNA from 1 species